ensembl:processed_transcript Snhg17 small nucleolar RNA host gene 17
AUUGCCAUCCGCCCAAAUCUACAGACAUCCCGCAUGUUCCCGGGCUCGUCUCCCCAAUACAGGGCACCAAGGCUGUAGACUGCGCAGCCCUCCUGGAGACAGAUGGAAGCUCCUUGGGUCGACAGAUUACAGCUUCUGGAACCCCCUACUCCCUUCAACUCCGAGAUGGACACCCACUGUCCAGGGAGAGGAUGCCUGGAAAUAACAGCUGGGAUCUACAGUGGCCAAAGAGUUGUCUCCGUCUUGCUACAUCGACAAACUGGUGCUCCUGAGUGAGGAUUGUGCCCUGGGAUGGGGGAUUCAGUUUCUUCAUUUAUAGUUGGAAGUGGGUGAAGCCACUUCGGAAGCGUUUUCCUCUCCACUCUGACAACAGGCAAGAGUGAGGGUCCAACAAUACAGAGGAAGUAACGUGUCGCUGCUACUCUUCCAUGCCCAGUGCCAGGAGCGACGGUACACUCCAGAGUGCUGUGCCCUGAUGGGCCUUUGAGUGGCCAGUGCAGUGGAUCAUCAGCCCUGUCUCCCAAGAGCU